rnacentral:rRNA from 1 species
UACGUAGGGUGCAAGCGUUGUCCGGAAUUAUUGGGCGUAAAGAGCUCGUAGGCGGUUUGUUGCGUCGGCUGUGAAAUCCCGAGGCUCAACCUCGGGUCUGCAGUCGAUACGAGCAAACUAGAGUGUUGCAGGGGAGACUGGAAUUCCUGGUGUAGCGGUGAAAUGCGCAGAUAUCAGGAGGAACACCGAUGGCGAAGGGCAGGUCACUGGGCCGCAACUGACGCUGAGGAGCGAAAGCAUGGGGAGCGAACAGG